CGUUCGCACCUGCUUAAGGAAACGUGUGUUCUGCUAACGCAAAUCUCGGAAUGGAAUUGAAGGCACAAUUGAACUUUUUAUGUUAAGCUCUACCAAAAGUAGCGCUUUCAACAAGAAUGGGCAUUUCUUCACAAUACUCGGAAUUGCAAAGAUAUAACAAAUGAAUGAAAACCGCCAGAAAUUCGGGAAUAAUAUAAUAGCGUUUGAAACAGGAGAGGCGGUCGCCACGCUAUAUAUGCCAGCUAAUUUGAUUUAUUGAAUAAAUUUCAAAUAAUUUUAUUUACGAUUGUUACUGUAGGUAAAUGCAUAUGAAACU